rnacentral:rRNA from 1 species
AUGGCGACCAUCACCUGCCACCUCCCCCCUCUCCUCCCUGGCCCAGCCUCCGGGCACCAUCGCCACCUCAAGCCCUCCCCGCCCCCCUUCAAUCGGCACCUCCGCGCCCCGCCUCCGACCCGUCUCCUCCGCGCCGCCCGCCGCCGCCAUCCCGACGCCGUCGUCGUCGUCCCAGACGCGCGCCCCUGGGUCGGCGACCUGUCAGGAGCCGCCUCCUACUGGGACGGGAGGGAGGAAGAUGGGGACGAGGAGGAGGACGCGGACGACGACGACCGCAGCCUGGACCUCCUGGCCCGGUUCCUGCACUCGGUGUUCAGGAAGGCCUCCCGCCGCGCGCGCCGCGCCGCCAGGUCCGUGCUGCCGCCCUCCGUCCCCGCUGAGCUGGUGAAGUUCUCGGUCAAUGGCGUGCUGGUUCUCACCUUCUUGUGGAUCCUCAAGGGGCUUCUUGAGGUGGUCUGCACAUUUGGAAGCAUGGUGUUUAUAAGCAUCCUUCUUGUUCGAGGGAUAUGGUCUGGAGUAACUUACAUCAGAGAAAACCGAUACAGCUAUAUUCAACAGCUCAAGGAUGACGACAACCGGUGGAGCAGAGUACAGCCUGCUGGUUGA